rnacentral:lncRNA from 1 species
AGAGGAGGUGUGUGUAGUGGUUGUACCUUAAUAAUGGACACAUCUGGUUGAGAACCAUCUGGUGAAUCCUGGAUUGAUUGUAGGUUUUGAGCUUCCUUAAGUUCAACAGACCUCCCACUGCCUUCUUCAUGGAUAAACUCUUUUUUCAAGAAAAUGGCAUGCCUACCAACAAACACCCUUUGUUGAGUAAGGUUAUAGAAGUAGUAUCCUAUACUCUCCUUGAGAUAACUUACAAAUCUAUAUUUUUCUGAUCUAGCAUCUAGCUUAUGU